UCCUAAUAUUAAAGAAAUUUGUAAUUGAUUUAAAUGAACAUUUACAAAAAUAAACUUCAUAUGAUAAGUAAAUAUUUAUACCUAAAAUAUGAUUAUUACUUAUUUGCACAUUAUCAAGAAAACCUGAUGAAAAAUAAAAUAAAUAAAGGUGAGUAAUACAUUAAUAUUAAAUUUGUUAGAAUUAAAUUAGUAAAUUAGCUUGAUGAAGCGAAUCAACAAGAAAUUAGUGCGCCGUAGAAAUUUCUUGAAUAUUAGAAACACCAUGUCUUCUCUAGGAGUUAAGACAUUCUCUACUUCGUUAAAAAAAUUAAUAGAAUACAAAAAAGGUUACAAUCAUUAAGAUUGAAUUAAAUAUCUAUUUACAUACGUUUUUAAGUUAACGGUUGAGUUUUUUAUUAAUAGUUUGAAAAAUUUUCCUAUUUUUUAUGCGUUUGACCGCGGUGUUCGCUCUUAAAAUAUCGCAGAUCUUAAAUUAUUUCCGCAGUUCAAAACAAAUAACCUAAAAAUUAUUUUUAGACAAUUGUAUAUUUCUUUGACACCUAUGUGAUGAAUCUUAACUACAACAAUGAUAAAAUUGUUUUGAUGAAAUCAAGUGUUCUAUUUUGACCAAACAGAUUCUAUGUGUAGUAGUGAAUCGUAAACAACCAUUGGUCAAUAAAAAAUAAGAAGAUAAUAUGCUACCAUUUUUCAAUAGGUAGAUAACAGUUCAAGCAAUUGGAGUCUAAUUCUGGUAGUAAAAAAAUUGUAUGUACUUUAAAAACCAGUUAAAGAGGAGAUAUCCAAGGGAAAUCAUAAUAAUAACAACGAAUACAAAAGCCAAGUGUGAAAAAGGAUAAAAGAGUGGGGAAAAAACAGUCAAUGCUGCCAUCGACCCACGCCGGAAUCACGUGCACAUCAGCGAGCAUCCGCGUGUUCAGCCUGAUGAGGCAGUCCAUGACAUCAAUCAUUUGCAGGAGGUUUCAUUCAUAGCAUAGGUGUUGACGCAUGUAAUGCAUCUUUUAAAAACCAAUUCUAAUGAAAUAUUAGGUAAUAGACUCACACAUUCACCUAGAAAAAUGAAUUUCCUCAUUUGAUCAAAUGUUUACUAGAAUUUUUGAAAUGCCAGACAACUUGGAUAACACUAUAAAUAAGUUUGGACGUAUCUACGCAAUAUGCUUCCAUAUACUACAUAAUAUAAACUACGUUGUUUACUAACAAAAAUGAAGUCAUUCUGAGGUCCAAGAACAUUUAAUAUGCGUUAUUACGCACCUAUAAUAUAUAAAACUAAUAACAUACAGAUUACAGAGUCAGAGAAAAAAUGUCGAAAAGUUAUCUCUUGAAAUUGAUUAUAUUUCUUACUCAUAAUGAUAAAUAUGUAAUACUUAUUAUUUCACAAUAAUGACAAAACAGUUUUAAGUGUUAUAAUUUUAUUGAUGGGUGCAUUUAGUGCUGGUAUGUAUGCGGCUUUGUCUUUUUUAAUGCACCAUUGUUUAUGUAUGCUAAUUUGAAAAGAAAAAACAAAAUCGCACUUUGUUUUGAUAAGUCUAAUGUCUACUGUCUAGUCAGCACUGAAGUGAAUCAUAUUGACAUAUGCAUUUCAAAUUAUGGAUAAUUAUUUUUAACUCAAUAUAAUGGGGUCCAAAUGAAAAAUUUAAAAACAAUACAUCAUUUGGAUUUCUCCAUAAUUAACUAAUGUAAUAAAAUAAUCAACUCAAGACAAAAUAUAAGUUAUUAUUAA